GAUGAAGAACGCAGCGAAAUGCGAUAAGUAAUGUGAAUUGCAGAAUUCAGUGAAUCAUCGAAUCUUUGAACGCACCUUGCGCCCUUUGGCCAUUCCGAAGGGCAUGCCUGUUUGAGUAUCAUGAACACCUCAACUCUCAUGGCUCGCCAUGAUGAGCUUGGAUUUGGGGGUCUUGCUGGCCUGUGGUCGGCUCCUCUCAAAUGGAUCAGCUUGCCAGUGUUUGGUGGCAUCACAGGUGUGAUAACUAUCUGCGCUUGUGGUUUUCCACCAAGUAACCUUCAGCAGUGGAGGUUCACUGGAGCUCACAGACGUCUCUCCUCAGUGAGGACAGCCCUUUGAAUGUUUGAUCUCAAAUCAGGUAGGACUACCCGCUGAACUUAAGCAUAUCAAUAAGCGGAGGA
rnacentral:misc_RNA from 1 species